CAGUCGCCGCGGUAAUACGAAGGGUGCAAGCGUUACUCGGAAUUACUGGGCGUAAAGCGUGCGUAGGUGGUGGUUUAAGUCCGUUGUGAAAGCCCUGGGCUCAACCUGGGAAUUGCAGUGGAUACUGGGUCACUAAAGUGUGGUAGAGGAUAGUGGAAUUUCCGGUGUAGCAGUGAAAUGCGUAUAGAUCGGAAGGAACAUCUGUGGCGAAGGCGACUAUCUGGGCCAACACUGACACUGAGGCACGAAAGCGUGGGGAGCAAACAGGAUUAGAUACCCCUGUAGUCCCUGUCUCUUAUAA
rnacentral:rRNA from 1 species